GGACGGUUGGCGCAGUUGGUAGCGCAUCACUUUGACAUAGUGGGGGUCACUGGUUCGAAUCCAGUACCGUCCA
rnacentral:tRNA from 1 species